GACGUAGGAUGCAAGCGUUGUCCGGAUUUAUUGGGCGUAAAGAGUUCGUAGGCGGUUCGUUAAGUUCGAUGUUAAAGACCGGGGCCCAACCCCGGGACUGCAUUGAAUACUGGCGGACUGGAGUGCAGUAGAGGUAAGUGGAAUUCCCAGUGUAGCGGUGAAAUGCGUAGAUAUUGGGAAGAACACCAGUGGCGUAAGCGACUUACUGGGCUGUAACUGACGCUGAGGAACGAAAGCCAGGGGAGCGAAUGGG
rnacentral:rRNA from 1 species